AACGGUCUAUACCUGCGGUACCUGCGGAGGGAUCAUUAUCAAUUUACAGCGGACUUCGGUCCUGUCUGCACCCUUGUCUUUUGCGUACUAUAUGUUUCCUCGGUGGGCUUGCCUGCCGAUAGGACACUUAUAAACUCUUUUGUAAUUGCAAUCAGCGUCAGAAAACUAUAAUAGUUACAACUUUCAGCAAUGGAUCUCU
rnacentral:misc_RNA from 1 species